UACGGGGGGGGCAAGCGUUGUUCGGAAUUACUGGGCGUAAAGGGCUCGUAGGUGGCCAACUAAGUCAGACGUGAAAUCCCUCGGCUUAACCGGGGAACUGCGUCUGAUACUGGAUGGCUUGAGUUUGGGAGAGGGACGCGGAAUUCCAGGUGUAGCGGUGAAAUGCGUAGAUAUCUGGAGGAAUACCGGUGGCGAAGGCGGCAUCCUGGACCGACAUUGACGCUGAACGGCGAAAGCUAGGGGAGCAAACGGG
rnacentral:rRNA from 1 species